rnacentral:rRNA from 1 species
UACGUAGGUGGCAAGCGUUGUCCGGAAUUAUUGGGCGUAAAGCGCGCGCAGGUGGUUCCUUAAGUCUGAUGUGAAAGCCCACGGCUCAACCGUGGAGGGUCAUUGGAAACUGGGGAACUUGAGUGCAGAAGAGGAAAGUGGAAUUCCACGUGUAGCGGUGAAAUGCGUAGAGAUGUGGAGGAACACCAGUGGCGAAGGCGACUUUCUGGUCUGUAACUGACACUGAGGCGCGAAAGCUAGGGGAGCGAACGGG